AUUGAACGCUGGCGGCAGGCCUAACACAUGCAAGUCGAGCGGCAGCGGGAAAGUAGCUUGCUACUUUUGCCGGCGAGCGGCGGACGGGUGAGUAAUGCCUGGGAAAUUGCCCAGUCGAGGGGGAUAACAGUUGGAAACGACUGCUAAUACCGCAUACGCCCUACGGGGGAAAGCAGGGGACCUUCGGGCCUUGCGCGAUUGGAUAUGCCCAGGUGGGAUUAGCUAGUUGGUGAGGUAAUGGCUCACCAAGGCGACGAUCCCUAGCUGGUCUGAGAGGAUGAUCAGCCACACUGGAACUGAGACACGGUCCAAACUCCUACGGGAGGCAGCAGUGGGGAAUAUUGCACAAUGGGGGAAACCCUGAUGCAGCCAUGCCGCGUGUGUGAAGAAGGCCUUCGGGUUGUAAAGCACUUUCAGCGAGGAGGAAAGGUUGUUGGCUAAUGCCCAACAGCUGUGACGUUACUCGCAGAAGAAGCACCGGCUAACUCCGUGCCAGCAGCCGCUGUAAUAC
rnacentral:rRNA from 1 species